GGUUGAUCUCGGAUCAGGUAGGGAUACC
rnacentral:rRNA from 1 species